rnacentral:rRNA from 1 species
GACGAACGCUGGCGGCGUGCUUAACACAUGCAAGUCGAACGGAAAGGCCCUGCUUUUGUGGGGUGCUCGAGUGGCGAACGGGCGAGUAACACGUGAGUAACCUGCCCUUGACUUUGGGAUAACUUCAGGAAACUGGGGCUAAUACCGGAUAGGAGCUCCUGCUGCAUGGUGGGGGUUGGAAAGUUUCGGCGGUUGGGGAUGGACUCGCGGCUUAUCAGCUUGUUGGUGGGGUAGUGGCUUACCAAGGCUUUGAUGGGUAGCCGGCCUGAGAGGGUGACCGGCCACAUUGGGACUGAGAUACGGCCCAGACUCCUACGGGAGGCAGCAGUGGGGAAUAUUGCACAAUGGGCGGAAGCCUGAUGCAGCAACGCCGCGUGCGGGAUGACGGCCUUCGGGUUGUAAACCGCUUUCGCCUGUGACGAAGCGUGAGUGACGGUAAUGGGUAAAGAAGCACCGGCUAACUACGUG